rnacentral:rRNA from 1 species
UGGGGAAUAUUGCACAAUGGGGGGAACCCUGAUGCAGCGACGCCGCGUGGGUGAAGGAGCGUUUCGGCGCGUAAAGCCCUAUCGGCAGGGAAGAAGGAGGACGGUACCUGACUAAGAAGCCCCGGCUAACUACGUGCC